rnacentral:rRNA from 1 species
AUGAACGCUGGCGGCGUGCUUAACACCUGCCAGUCGAACGAUGAAGCCCAGCUUGCUGGGUGGAUUAGUGGCGAACGGGUGAGUAACACGUGAGUAACCUGCCCUUGACUCUGGGAUAAGCCUGGGAAACUGGGUCUAAUACUGGAUAUGACUUCUCAUCGCAUGGUGGGGGGUGGAAAGAUUUAUUGGUCUUGGAUGGACUCGCGGCCUAUCAGCUUGUUGGUGAGGUAAUGGCUCACCAAGGCGACGACGGGUAGCCGGCCUGAGAGGGUGACCGGCCACACUGGGACUGAGACACGGCCCAGACUCCUACGGGAGGCAGCAGUGGGGAAUAUUGCACAAUGGGCGCAAGCCUGAUGCAGCGACGCCGCGUGAGGAACGACGGCCUUCGGGUUGUAAACCUCUUUCAGUAGGGAAGAAGCGAGAGUGACGGUACCUGCAGAAGAAGCGCCGGCUAACUACGUG